GGGGAAUUAGCUCAAAUGGUAGAGCGCUCGCUUAGCAUGCGAGAGGCACGGGAAUCGAUGUCCGAUUCUCCA
rnacentral:tRNA from 1 species